rnacentral:tRNA from 1 species
GCCCGCGUGGCGGAAUUGGUAGACGCAUGGGACUUAAAAUCCCCCGGCUUUUGGCCAUCCCGGUUCGAUUCCGGGCGCGGGCACCA